GACGAACCGUCCAAACGUUAUUCGGAAUCACUGGGCUUAAAGGGUGCGUAGGCGGCUCUGAAAGUUGGGUGUGAAAGCCCUCGGCUCAACCGAGGAAUUGCUCCCAAAACUACAGAGCUAGAGGAAGACAGAGGUGAGCGGAACUUAGGGUGGAGCGGUGAUAUGCGUUGAGAUCCUAAGGAACACCAGUAGCGAAAGCGGCUCACUGGGUCUUUCUGACGCUGAGUGCACGAAAGCUAGGGGAGCAAACAGGAUUAGAUACCCUGGUAGU
rnacentral:rRNA from 1 species